CAUGUUUACAUGCACUUGGGUAAUCAGAUAAUGGGAAACUCCAGGUCUACAUGAGUCAGACAGUAAUCAGAUUUCUGCUUUACAACCAGCCAAUAAACUCACAAAGAAGACGUGGCGUAAACGUAACGUAAAACUUAAACUUCAUGCUGCAGUUUUUUUUAAAACCUCGAGUCACUUUACCUGAAAAUAUGAACAUUCAUAAUCUAUCAGAUGAAGAUUAUUUAAACCCUUCAUUUCGUCAAGCAUGUAUUUGGUUUCAGUGUUGCUCCAAAAGCAUUUUGCUGCAUCUCGCAGCAACGCUGCUCACUUAUUUCUGAUACCGCUGUCUGUUUUCACACAUGCACAGACUGAGAAAUCCGAAUGAAAUCAGAGUAAGAGUUUACAUAUACUGAGAAAUCUGAUUGCUGAGCUAAAAUCCAAACUCUUUAUCAGAUUUCUUAACCCUUGUGUGGUGUUGGGGUCUGUGGGACCCGUUUCAAUGUUUACCAGAAGAAAAAUUAUGCGAUUUAUUAUUAUUUCAAACUCAGAUUUCUUGGCCUUUGCCCAUUUUCUGUGAAGAACAUAUAAAGGAAUACAAUAUCAGUGCCUUCACACUGUACACCCACACACUGUACACCCACACCCCCCCCACACACACACACCCCCCCUCCACUGGACCCGCAGGUAAUAAAAAUGUGAAGGUGCUGUGUCCCUUCCCAAUGUCCACCUCCUAUUUGGCCUGCUGGUGAGACCUCAAAUCCAGAGAAGAUAACACAUCCCAAGAAGCCCAGCUCCUGCAGCCAUCCUGAGCCAGCCUCAGGAGGAGGAGGCUGGUGUCCCUUCAGCCCACAGACCCACAGAACAACCAUCUGCAGAAGCUCAAGUUGCAGCCAGUAGCAACAAACAGUGCUGUGCUGUGUUUGGACCCAAGAUGGACAGAAGGACACAGCGUACAUGCAUCAUGUGCAAGAAACACAUUUGCAACACACAGUAAAACAGUAAAAACACAGUAAAACUCUGCCCCUCAUGUCUUGUAUAGGCUGGCGUGAGUAGACUGUGUUCAGUAGGGCUGGUGUCUUAUGUAGACUGAUGUGGAUUCUGUAUCUGUUCAAUGGUGCUGAGGCUUUUCAGACUAAUAUAAAUGUGUUUAUUUUCUCAGCAUUGCUUCAUUUAGAUUUCCUCAAAAUAAACGUUUUUCCACCCACA